CACCAUGGCUCUUUCAUCAGAGAGAGCUGGGGGGUGGUGAGGGGAAGGUGGAGGCCGGCCUGGAAGGAAACCCGGGGGUCAGAGGAACCUGGGGGGCUUCACAAGGCUGGGGAGAGGGGUGUGCUGAAUGUGCUCUGCCACCCAGGUGUCAAGCUCUGGACUCUGGUCUCCAGCUCAGAGUAGAUGAUGCUGCCAGUGGAGACCAGGAGGCCGGUGGGGAGAGCCUGCCUGAUGGGGGAGCAGAGGGGUCCAUGUUCCCUUCCUCAGUCUGGAGACUAUUCCUAGCCUUGGGGCUGCACCUAGGGAUGGACUGAUCCAGGCUGAACCCACAUCUCUGGUGACAUGAGGGGUGAAGGGACUGCUCUGAAAGACUGGCUUGUAACACACCCUGGGUGCCUGACACAGAGCUCAUGGCCAAGAUGCCCACGCAGAUCUGUGCAGCGUCCCUGCUCCCAGGAGCAGCUGAGGACACAGGCUGUCACAAUUGGCCAGACCGAGUGUUGCAGUGGAGAUGGCACAGCCUCGAGUAAAGAAGGGGGCACCCCUCCAGGCAGGGGAGCCAGGUGGGUAAUAUCUGUGCUGAGUAACCAGGCAAACAAAUUGGUGAGGAAGAGCUGGGAAGGGCAUCCAGGCAAAGGGAACAGUGUGAGCAAAGGCCCAGAGCCAGAGGAGAGCCUGGGUGUUCUGGAGCUGUGCGUCACGACUUCCGGUGAGCAUGGAGGGCACGGUGCGGGCAGUGGUGGGAGGUAACCCCGGGGGACUAGGUGUGUUGGCUCUCUUGAUUAUCGAUGUCCACCUUGUUCUCAAGUCCAGCCUCACCCCUUACCUGAGUGCAGGUCCCUGUCCCAGCAUAUGAGUUCAAGCAGGAAAAGGGACUUUAUAGCGAGGGUCCAGGGUCCUCCCGUGGGACUCGGGGAUGCAGCCCAGCUUUGGGAUGCUGGAACCAGACAGCCCCCGGACACUCUCAGAACCGCUUGCCUGUCCCCAUUUGCCCAGCUGAUGUGUCCUGGAUCCCUUCACCCAAAGGGAACAAUUUCCAGGUCCCAAGCCCAUCUUCCUGGGAAGGAGGUGACUGUCCUGACUCGAAUCAGGGCCUCCCUUCUGGCCCCAUCAGCUGUGGCCAGUGGUCAGAUCUGCGUGCCAAGUGUCUGUCCGCAUGACCACAUGAGAGAGGUUACCAGAAAGGGAGGCCAGAUGGACAGCCUAAAAGCCUACAAGCCAGCCAUGUCCGCUCUAGUCCAUCCCAUUCCAUCCUGCUCAGCAUUCCCCCUUGCUUAACUCCUUCGACUUUCCCCAGGUUUCUCCAUUCCUGUUGUCCUUGCCUAACGUUUAACCACAGAUACCUCUCCCCCUGACAGAGGUGACGCAAUCCAAGGUGUGUCAACCUCCUGCGUCCAGGGCUCCCUUCUCUGAGCUGCCGUCUCCAGCUGACACCCACUUGUCUGUUUCUGCUGAACCUCCUCUAAGAUGGCUCCUCGGGACCCGCUCGAUCGAUAGACUAGAAACCAACUCAAGAGAGUUUGUACUGGGUUGAAUGUUGUCCCCCCCGAAUUCAUACUCCCCUGGAACCUCAGAAUGUGACCAUAAUUGGAAAUAAGGCCCUGGUAGAUCUAAUUAGCUAAGAUGGGCUCAUCUGGAUUCAGGUGUCCUUAUAAGAAGAGGGAAAUUUGGACAAAGAUUCGGACACAAGGGGAGAGCACGGUUUGAAGAUGGAGGCAGAGGUUGGAGUGAGGCACCUACAAGCCAAGAAACACCAAGGACGGCAGGCAGCCACCAGAAGCCAGGAGAGAGGCAGGGACAGAUUCGCCCUCGGGAUCUCUGGAAGGAACCAACCCUGCCAACACUGCAAUUUCAGACUUCUGGCCUCCUGAACCAUGAGAGAAUAAAUUUCUAUUGUUUUCUACCUUGUGGCAAUUUGUUACAGCAGCCCUAGGAAACUGAUAGAGAUUUUAAGCAGAAUAUGGGAGUAAGGCAAGGGGUGUAAGGGACUUUCAGGAGAACCCGGGGGCAAGAAUGCAGUGGGACCUCAAAAAGAUACAAAGACCAGGGGCUGAAAAGCCCAAAAUCUUCUCUCUCACCCAGGACCCUCUCUUCCUCCCUGCGCCUCUGCUUCGGGGCUGUCUCUCAGUCUCUCUUUCUCUGCACAGCAGCUUCUUCAAUUGCUUUAGUCCUUUCCAUGGGCUCAAGAGGCCCCACAGCUCCCCAGCUUACAUGUUACGGUA